rnacentral:rRNA from 1 species
CGUGUGCUUACAAGUAGUCAGAGCCCGUUAAUGGGUGAUGGCGUGCCUUUUGUAGAAUGAACCGGCGAGUUACGAUUUGAUGCAAGGUUAAGCAGUAAAUGUGGAGCCGUAGCGAAAGCGAGUCUGAAUAGGGCGUUUAGUAUUUGGUCGUAGACCCGAAACCAGGUGAUCUACCCUUGGUCAGGUUGAAGUUCAGGUAACACUGAAUGGAGGACCGAACCGACUUACGUUGAAAAGUGAGCGGAUGAACUGAGGGUAGCGGAGAAAUUCCAAUCGAACCUGGAGAUAGCUGGUUCUCUCCGAAAUAGCUUUAGGGCUAGCCUCAAGUGAUGAUUAUUGGAGGUAGAGCACUGUUUGGACGAGGGGCCCCUCUCGGGUUACCGAAUUCAGACAAACUCCGAAUGCCAAUUAAUUUAACUUGGGAGUCAGAACAUGGGUGAUAAGGUCCGUGUUCGAAAGGGAAACAGCCCAGACCACCAGCUAAGGUCCCAAAAUAUAUGUUAAGU